UGUUCAAGUAACCACAUAUAAACUUAUCAUGGAGAUCAGCUGAGACCUCAUGGCAGAAAUCUCGUUUGAAACAACUCGAAAUUACUUCACCUUGGCUCAAGCCACAUCACAGCAGAUACUUUCUCCUCCUUCUCCAGCCCUGCUGUGAGCCAAAGGCGUUUUCUGGGCUGCAACUUUCCUGUGCUGAAUGACCUUGAGCCUCUUGCUGCUGCCCUGUCUUUGCUUGGCUCAGCAUGUGCAUCUCUUGCUCUUUUAAAUAUGCCUGCAUGCUCACCUUUGCUGUCUUCCUUUUCCUCCACAGAUGAAGAGCCUUCAGAAUGGAUCCACAGAUUCCUGAGCAUUCAUGGACCUCAGACUGGAGCUACCGCAUAA
rnacentral:lncRNA from 1 species